UCUGGUUGCCUGCACCGAAGGAUGCUGUUUAUAGUCCAGUUCAUAAUUUCUCCCUUUCCUGCUCAUCAUUAUUAUUAUCCAAAGUGCCUUUUUGCUUCUGUUAGCAAAACCAGAAUCCCCCAUGCCCCAGUUUUAGCAGCUAAUGUCCACAAUAGGGGCAACUGAUCCAGCGCAGGAGUUAAAUAUAACCGUGUCUAGUGUAAGGAGAAGAUUUAAUGGGAAAUGGUUGGCAUUCUUUCUUCCUAAAGGCACGGGGAGGGGUGGGGGGGGAGAGAGGGAGACGUACACACACAGACACACACACACACGCAUCCCACAGUGAGGGAAGAGGCAGGGAGCAGGCAAGGCAGAGAGGGUAGAGAGAGAGAGAGAUCCCCAAAGCAGCCCUGCGCCUCUCAGCUGGAGUCUGCCAGGGCACAGCCAGCAUGGUGGUCCUCAGCCUGCUUCUCUGGGGAUCUUACCUGCAGCUUUUCUUCUGCCUUGCUUUGUCUCACGCUGCGUACGUUGACAAUGUCUUCUCAGUCUCGGCAGAAGAAACAGCUCAGCCGCAGAGCGUGCUGCUUCCUGGGCCCUCCUCCACCACCCUUGAUCCCACCACCGUACUUCGGGCACGGCUGGAGCACUAAGCUGCUUGCUCUGGAUAUGAAAGAGUUGUGUCUGGAGCUCCAGAUAAUGCAGGCUUCCUCUCUGCCCGAAUCGUAUUGCCCCACAGGGCCUCCUGGCCCCGAGGUGAGUGAUUAAACCACAUUGUUAUCUCACGUGCUUCAAGGUCCUUACAAAGCUGUGAAAUAUCUUCUGCAAAUGUUUUUUAUGG
rnacentral:lncRNA from 1 species